UACAGAGGGGGCAAGCGUUGUUCGGAAUUACUGGGCGUAAAGGGCGCGUAGGCGGCCUGCUAAGUCGAACGUGAAAUCCCUGGGCUCAACCCAGGGCCUGCAUCGGAAACUGUCGGGCUUGAGUAUGGGAGAGGUGAGUGGAAUUUCCGGUGUAGCGGUGAAAUGCGUAGAUAUCGGAAGGAACACCUGUGGCGAAAGCGGCUCACUGGACCAUUACUGACGCUGAGGCACGAAAGCCAGGGGAGCAAACCGGGG
rnacentral:rRNA from 1 species